GCUUACGGCCAUACCAGCCCAAGAACGCCCGAUCUCGUCUGAUCUCGGAAGCUAAGAAGGCUUGGGCCUGGUUAGUACUUGGAUGGGAGACCUCCUGGGAAUACCAGGUGCUGUAAGCU
ensembl:rRNA 5S_rRNA 5S ribosomal RNA